CACGCCGUAAACGAUGGAUACUAGGUGUAGGGGGUAUCGACUCCCCCUGUACCGUAGCAAACGCAUUAAGUAUCCCGCCUGAGUAGUACGGUCGCAAGGCUAAAACUCAAAGAAAUUGACGGGGACCCGCACAAGCAGCGGAGCAUGUGGUUUAAUUCGAAGCAACGCGAAGAACCUUACCAAGACUUGACAUCUAUAUGACCGCCUUCGAAAAAGGGCUUCUCUUCGGAGCAUAUAGACAGGUGG
rnacentral:rRNA from 1 species